rnacentral:tRNA from 2 species
GCAUCUAUAGCUCAGUUGGAUAGAGCGGUGGACUUCGAAUCCAAAGGUCGCGGGUUCAAUUCCUGCUAGAUGCACCA